GAGUUUGAUCUUGGCUCAGGAUGAACGCUGGCGGCGUGCCUAACACAUGCAAGUCGAACGGGCGCGGCGUGCGGCAGGGGCCUCGGCCCCUGCGGCGCCGCGCGAGUGGCGGACGGGUGAGUAACGCGUGGGCAACCUGCCCUGUACUGGGGGAUAACACCUGGAAACAGGUGCUAAUACCGCAUAAGCGCGCUGUGCCGCAUGGCGCGGCGCGGAAAACCCCGGUGGUACAGGAUGGGCCCGCGUCUGAUUAGCUGGUUGGCAGGGUAACGGCCUACCAAGGCGACGAUCAGUAGCCGGCCUGAGAGGGUGGACGGCCACACUGGGGCUGAGACACGGCCCAGACUCCUACGGGAGGCGGCAGUGGGGGAUAUUGCACAAUGGGGGAAACCCUGAUGCAGCGACGCCGCGUGGGUGAAGAAGCGCCUCGGCGCGUAAAGCCCUGUCAGCAGGAGAAAAUGACGGUACCUGAAGAAGAAGCCCCGGCUAACUACGUGCCAGCAGCCGCGGUAAG
rnacentral:rRNA from 1 species